rnacentral:rRNA from 1 species
AUUGAACGCUGGCGGCAUGCCUUACACAUGCAAGUCGAACGGUAACAGGUCUUCGGAUGCUGACGAGUGGCGAACGGGUGAGUAAUACAUCGGAACGUGCCCGAUCGUGGGGGAUAACGAGGCGAAAGCUUUGCUAAUACCGCAUACGAUCUACGGAUGAAAGCGGGGGAUCUUCGGACCUCGCGCGGACGGAGCGGCCGAUGGCAGAUUAGGUAGUUGGUGGGAUAAAAGCUUACCAAGCCGACGAUCUGUAGCUGGUCUGAGAGGAUGAUCAGCCACACUGGGACUGAGACACGGCCCAGACUCCUACGGGAGGCAGCAGUGGGGAAUGUUGGACAAUGGGCGAAAGCCUGAUCCAGCCAUGCCGCGUGCAGGAUGAAGGCCUUCGGGUUGUAAACUGCUUUUGUACGGAACGAAAAGCCUCUUUCUAAUAAAGAGGGGUCAUGACGGUACCGUAAGAAUAAGCACCGGCUAACUACGUG